CUAGAUUUAUCAGCCUUUUGGCUAUGAUCAAGUGUAGUAUCUGUUCAUACGGAGUAUCAGUUUGAUAUCUGAUAUGUGGGUCACUGACUCGCAAGUUGUUGAGGAUAACGUAGUUAUCGGAGAGGAUAGAAUAUCAUAUGAUUCGUGAUUUCUAAGUCUUAUAGACUUCUAUCUCAUAUCAUAUAACAUAACUCUAUCUCAUAUGAUAUUCUAUCC
rnacentral:snRNA from 1 species